rnacentral:lncRNA from 1 species
CCUCUAAGUUUCAUUUACCUGUGCGGGUAUACACAGGCUUUUUAGAUUACUUUGUAUUGCCCCCCAAAAUAGAAGAACGCUUCAUAGAUUUUGGAGUACUGAGUGCUACAGAAGCAAGUAGUAUUUUAUUUGCAAUUAUAAACAGCAAUCCAAUUGAGCUGGCAAUAAAAAGUUGGCAUAUCAUAGGAGAUGGCUUAUCAAUAGAACUUGUAGCUACAGAGAGAGGCAACAGAAGCACAGUGAUCGCGAGCCUUCCUGAACUGGAGAAGUCCUCUCUGCCAGACCAAUCCCCGGUAACAUUAGCUUCAGGACACUUUGCAGUGUUCAGAGUCAAACUCACUGCCAAGAAGCUGGAAGGGGUCCACGAUGGGGCCAUCCAGAUCACAACCGACUAUGAGAUCUUUGGGCGGUUGAGUACUUCUAAAUUCAACAAGUUAUCUUUGUCCUCCUGAGUGGUUUCAGCAUACACAAAUCCAGUGGCAAAAUAAACAGAACUGGCUAUUCAAAUAAUAAAUGAUUAGAGUAUAUCCAGUUACCUCCAAAAGUGAGGAAUUCAUACUUAACAUUCGUAUAGAAAUCCUGACCAUUCCUGUGAAAGCUGUGGUCGCCGUGGGCUCGCUGACGUGC